GAUCAUGGCUCAGAUUGAACGCUGGCGGCAGGCUUAACACAUGCAAGUCGAGCGGGGAAGAGUAGCUUGCUACUUAACCUAGCGGCGGACGGGUGAGUAAUGCUUAGGAAUCUGCCUAUUAGUGGGGGACAACAUCUCGAAAGGGAUGCUAAUACCGCAUACGUCCUACGGGAGAAAGCAGGGGACCUUCGGGCCUUGCGCUAAUAGAUGAGCCUAAGUCGGAUUAGCUAGUUGGUGGGUAAA
rnacentral:rRNA from 1 species